CUGAUUGUUCUCUGUAGUAAAAGUUCUCGGUAUCACCCUCUCCAGGACAAACUGGCCAACAGAAGAAAAUAGGUGGUGGUGCAAGGCAAGGUGGGCUGGAAAAAAAAUUCCCUAAAUUUCUCUAAUAGAACCAAUGGUUCUAAGCUCUCCCUGGUGCAGAAAUAUGUUUGUCAGUGGAAAAACAUGUAACAUUUCAUAUGGUGUCUCACCAUUUGUAUCAU